GGAGAGUUUGAUCCUGGCUCAGGAUGAACGCUGGCGGCGUGCCUAAUACAUGCAAGUCGAGCGAACGGACGAGAAGCUUGCUUCUCUGAUGUUAGCGGCGGACGGGUGAGUAACACGUGGAUAACCUACCUAUAAGACUGGGAUAACUUCGGGAAACCGUAGCUAAUACCGGAUAAUAUUUUGAACCGCAUGGUUCAAAAGUGAAAGACGGUCUUGCUGUCACUUAUAGAUGGAUCCGCGCUGCAUUAGCUAGUUGGUAAGGUAACGGCUUACCAAGGCAACGAUGCAUAGCCGACCUGAGAGGGUGAUCGGCCACACUGGAACUGAGACACGGUCCAGACUCCUACGGGAGGCAGCAGUAGGGAAUCUUCCGCAAUGGGCGAAAGCCUGACGGAGCAACGCCGCGUGAGUGAUGAAGGUCUUCGGAUCGUAAAACUCUGUUAUUAGGGAAGAACAUAUGUGUAAGUAACUGUGCACAUCUUGACGGUACCUAAUCAGAAAGCCACGGCUAACUACGUGCCAGCAGCCGCGGUAAUACGUAGGUGGCAAGCGUUAUCCGGAAUUAUUGGGCGUAAAGCGCGCGUAGGCGGUUUUUUAAGUCUGAUGUGAAAGCCCACGGCUCAACCGUGGAGGGUCAUUGGAAACUGGAAAACUUGAGUGCAGAAGAGGAAAGUGGAAUUCCAUGUGUAGCGGUGAAAUGCGCAGAGAUAUGGAGGAACACCAGUGGCGAAGGCGACUUUCUGGUCUGUAACUGACGCUGAUGUGCGAAAGCGUGGGGAUCAAACAGGAUUAGAUACCCUGGUAGUCCACGCCGUAAACGAUGAGUGCUAAGUGUUAGGGGGUUUCCCGCCCCUUAGUGCUGCAGCUAACGCAUUAAGCACUCCGCCUGGGGAGUACGACCGCAAGGUUGAAACUCAAAGGAAUUGACGGGGACCCGCACAAGCGGUGGAGCAUGUGGUUUAAUUCGAAGCAACGCGAAGAACCUUACCAAAUCUUGACAUCCUUUGACAACUCUAGAGAUAGAGCCUUCCCCUUCGGGGGACAAAGUGACAGGUGGUGCAUGGUUGUCGUCAGCUCGUGUCGUGAGAUGUUGGGUUAAGUCCCGCAACGAGCGCAACCCUUAAGCUUAGUUGCCAUCAUUAAGUUGGGCACUCUAAGUUGACUGCCGGUGACAAACCGGAGGAAGGUGGGGAUGACGUCAAAUCAUCAUGCCCCUUAUGAUUUGGGCUACACACGUGCUACAAUGGACAAUACAAAGGGCAGCGAAACCGCGAGGUCAAGCAAAUCCCAUAAAGUUGUUCUCAGUUCGGAUUGUAGUCUGCAACUCGACUACAUGAAGCUGGAAUCGCUAGUAAUCGUAGAUCAGCAUGCUACGGUGAAUACGUUCCCGGGUCUUGUACACACCGCCCGUCACACCACGAGAGUUUGUAACACCCGAAGCCGGUGGAGUAACCUUUUAGGAGCUAGCCGUCGAAGGUGGGACAAAUGAUUGGGGUGAAGUCGUAACAAGGUAGCCGUAUCGGAAGGUGCGGCUGGAUCACCUCCUUUCUA
rnacentral:rRNA from 1 species